CGGUGUUCAACUGGCGUGUCCGCGGGACGUCCUGCCGGUGGGCUUAGCCCGCAAGGGCGGCCCAACUUCAAAUCCCAUCGCGGUGCUCUUCACUGAGUGUCGAGGUGGGCCGGCACGUUUACUUUGAACAAAUUAGAGUGCUUAAAGCAGGCUAAAACUUCGCCUGAAUACUGUGUGCAUGGAAUAAUGGAAUAGGACCUCGGUUCUAUUUUGUUGGUUUUCGGAACCCCGAGGUAAUGAUUAAUAGGAACGGAUGGGGGCAUUCGUAUUGCGACGUUAGAGGUGAAAUUCUUGGAUCGUCGCAAGACGGACAGAAGCGAAAGCAUUUGCCAAAAACGCUUUCAUUGAUCAAGAACGAAAGUUAGAGGUUCGAAGGCGAUCAGAUACCGCCCUAGUUCUAACCAUAAACGAUGCCAGCUAGCGAUCCGUCGACGUUCCUCCGAUGACUCGACGGGCAGCUUCCGGGAAACCAAAGCUUUUGGGUUCCGGGGGAAGUAUGGUUGCAAAGCUGAAACUUAAAGGAAUUGACGGAAGGGCACCACCAGGAGUGGAGCCUGCGGCUUAAUUUGACUCAACACGGGAAACCUCACCAGGCCCGGACACCGGAAGGAUUGACAGAUUGAGAGCUCUUUCUUGAUUCGGUGGGUGGUGGUGCAUGGGCCGUUCUUAGUUGGUGGAGCGAUUUGUCUGGUUAAUUCCGAUAACGAACGAGACUCUAGCCUGCUAACUAGGCGUAUUUUCGACAUCUCAAAGGUCCGUCGUCCCGGCCCUCGGGUCGUGGGCGUGCGCGAUUUUUACUGUCGGCGUACUAUCAAUUCUUCCUAGAGGGACAGGUGGCUUCUAGCCGCACGAGAUUGAGCAAUAACAGGUCUGUGAUG
rnacentral:rRNA from 1 species